ACGAACGCUGGCGGCAGGCCUAACACCUGCCAGUCGAGCGCGCCCUUCGGGGUGAGCGGCGGACGGGUGAGUAACGCGUGGGAACGUGCCCUUUUCUACGGAAUAGCCUCGGGAAACUGAGAGUAAUACCGUAUACGCCCUUUGGGGGAAAGAUUUAUCGGAAAAGGAUCGGCCCGCGUUGGAUUAGGUAGUUGGUGGGGUAAUGGCCUACCAAGCCGACGAUCCAUAGCUGGUUUGAGAGGAUGAUCAGCCACACUGGGACUGAGACACGGCCCAGACUCCUACGGGAGGCAGCAGUGGGGAAUCUUAGACAAUGGGGGCAACCCUGAUCUAGCCAUGCCGCGUGAGUGAUGAAGGCCUUAGGGUUGUAAAGCUCUUUCAGCUGGGAAGAUAAUGACGGUACCAGCAGAAGAAGCCCCGGCUAACUCCGUG
rnacentral:rRNA from 1 species